GGGGAUGUAGCUCAGCUGGCUAGAGCGUCUGCAUGGCAUGCAGAAGGUCAGGGGUUCAAGUCCCCUCAUCUCCACCA
rnacentral:tRNA from 1 species